AACUCUCAACAACGGAUAUCUUGGCUCCCGUAACGAUGAAGAACGCAGCGAAAUGCGAUACGUUGUGUGAAUUGCAGAAUUCCGUGAACCAUCGAAUUUUUGAACGCAAAUUGCGCUCGAGGCCUCGGCUAAGAGCAUGUCUGGCUCAGCGUC
rnacentral:rRNA from 1 species